UUGCUCUAGUUGCUCUGAUGGUUUUCCUAAGUAUUUAACAACGAAUUUGAAGGACUACUUGUAGUAUGCCAAUUUGAACGGCUUCUAUUGCAAUAAAUAAUGUCGUAUAAUGUUUAGUGUUGCAUACGUAAUGGCUUCGAUUCCAGAUGAGCGUGAUCAUGAAUACAUUAUUGACAUGUUGGUACUUAUGAUCGAUACUUAGCUGUUGUACAUCAUUGUUAUGUAGGCAGGAAUGAUGGAUAGCUGUUUUUCUGUGUGUCGUUGGCGUCUCGCCACUAACUCAUAGAUUUAAAUCAGGUCUCCAUUGAAAACCAGCACUAGAGAUUGCCGCGCCAUUAUGCUGAGUGCGGGAUCCUAUUUUCGUGUCCAAAUGCUUUUUUUUUAUGUCUGCGUGUCUUUUUUAUGUACUAUGUUGUGGCGAUAAAUAAAUGAAUUUUCUUUCUUUCUUUUUGUAGAAUUUCGCAAGCAAUUAAUAGUGAAUUAGUGAUCUGGUGGAAAGCCCCUCAACACAAAACCCGAUUUAAGAGGGGGUGGAAAGCCAGGAAAUCAGAAAGGAAC